GGCUCCAUAGUGUAGUGGUUAGCAUGUCUGCUUUACAUGCAGAAGGUCCCGGGUUCUCACCCUAGGUGGAGCCG
rnacentral:tRNA from 1 species